rnacentral:tRNA from 1 species
AAAAAGAUAAGCUAAAAAAGCUACUGGGUUCAUACCCCAUUUAUGGGGGCGAUAAUCCCCCUCUUUUUA